GUCCAUUCUUGAUUGAAUCAUUUACUAAUAUUAAUCUACUAAUAAUACAAAUUUCUUUGAGAAUAAACCUAAUAAGUGUACUAUGAACCAGUAUAUAAAAUAUUUACACAUUUUCAGACUGUAAAGAGCAAUUUGGUGGCUGUGCACUCUCUCCAUUGAUUUCAGGGGAGCUAUGCCUAUGCUGCUUCUUGGCUGAAUACAGGAUAUAAUGUUGAAACAUGAAAAGAAGGUCAAACAAUAUGGACACCAGAGAGAGCAUUGUCUUCCCUAUGUUGCCAUAGAAGUUCACCCAGGAAUGUUGGUCUAUAGAUUGUGCAGUCAUUUGGGCAUAAUUUGUUACCCCUCCAAGAAAAUCAAGGAAAAUGUUCCCAAUGCUGAACCCAUCAGUGCUCUUUCUCAUGAAGUUCAUGGCUGCCUGGGGAAUGUACUUUAUCACUGUCAUGCAAACUUGAAUUGAGUUGAAGACAGAGAUAAGCCACAGCCAAGAAUGGCGAUGCAAUGCUACAAAGAAACAAACUGCAGCAGCUACCCACACGAUAAAGACAAUUGUUAUGGCAAUCUUGGAUACCUUUUGAUGCCCGCGCUGUUUCUGGCCAUACUUGUUAAAGUAUUGCUUUUGGAUAGCAGAGCUGAAGUAAAGAGAA
rnacentral:misc_RNA from 1 species